rnacentral:lncRNA from 1 species
AUAAACUCUAAUCUUGUAGGGUCUGUGGUGAGUAAGGAGUAAACUACUUGCGGUACAUGAUUUUCCUCAUAGCCACCAGUACUGAACCUCUGCUUUUCUGGAAGCAACUUAUUGCAUAUUUAUCAUCCUUUUUCGUCUAAUGACAAUUAGAUAUAAAACAUUCAGAAAAUCCUCUUUUAUACAGGAUAUGGUGGUAUACCAUUAACUUCCAAUUCUAACGGUUCUGUUGCUUAAUGGCAUCUGGGCCCGUUUUCCUCAUAGCCACCAGUACUUAACCUUUGAUUUUCUGGAAGCAACUUAUUGCGUAUUUAUCAUCCUUUUUCGUCUAAUGACAAUUCGAUAUAAAACAUUCAGAAAAUCCUCUUUUAUACAGGAUAUGGUGGUAUAUCAUUAACUUCAACUCUAACGGUUCUGUUGCUUAAUGGCAUCUGGGUCCGCGUUUUUACUACAACUUUUAUAAGCAGG